UGAACGCUGGCGGCGUGCCUAACACAUGCAAGUCGAACGGAGCUGCUUUGAUGAAGUUUUCGGAUGGAUUUAAAGCAGCUUAGUGGCGGACGGGUGAGUAACGCGUGGGUAACCUGCCUCACACUGGGGGAUAACAGUUAGAAAUAGCUGCUAAUACCGCAUAAGCGCACAGUUCCGCAUGGAACAGUGUGAAAAACUCCGGUGGUGUGAGAUGGACCCGCGUCUGAUUAGCCAGUUGGCGGGGUAACGGCCCACCAAAGCGACGAUCAGUAGCCGGCCUGAGAGGGUGAACGGCCACAUUGGGACUGAGACACGGCCCAAACUCCUACGGGAGGCAGCAGUGGGGAAUAUUGCACAAUGGGGGAAACCCUGAUGCAGCGACGCCGCGUGAGUGAAGAAGUAUUUCGGUAUGUAAAGCUCUAUCAGCAGGGAAGAAAGUGACGGUACCUGAAUAAGAAGCCCCGGCUAACCACGUGCCAGCAGCCGCGGUAAUACGUAGGGGGCAAGCGUUAUCCGGAUUUACUGGGUGUAAAGGGAGCGUAGACGGCAAGGCAAGUCUGAAGUGAAAGCCCGGUGCUUAACGCCGGGACUGCUUUGGAAACUGUUUGGCUGGAGUGCCGGAGAGGUAAGCGGAAUUCCUAGUGUAGCGGUGAAAUGCGUAGAUAUUAGGAAGAACACCAGUGGCGAAGGCGGCUUACUGGACGGUAACUGACGUUGAGGCUCGAAAGCGUGGGGAGCAAACAGGAUUAGAUACCCUGGUAGUCCACGCCGUAGACGAUGAUUGCUAGGUGUAGGUGGGUAUGGACCCAUCGGUGCCGCAGCUAA
rnacentral:rRNA from 1 species